UAGGGAAUCUUCCGCAAUGGGCGAAAGCCUGACGGAGCAACGCCGCGUGAGUGAUGAAGGUCUUCGGAUCGUAAAACUCUGUUAUUAGGGAAGAACAAAUGUGUAAGUAACUAUGCACGUCUUGACGGUACCUAAUCAGAAAGCCACGGCUAACUACGUGCCAGCAGCCGCGGUAAUACGUAGGUGGCAUGCGUUAUCCGGAAUUAUUGGGCGUAAAGCGCGCGUAGGCGGUUUUUUAAGUCUGAUGUGAAAGCCCACGGCUCAACCGUGGAGGGUCAUUAGAAACUGGAAAACUUGAGUGCAGAAGAGGAAAGUGGAAUUCCAUGUGUAGCGGUGAAAUGCGCAGAGAUAUGGAGGAACACCAGUGGCGAAGGCGACUUUCUGGUCUGUAACUGACGCUGAUGUGCGAAAGCGUGGGGAUCAAACAGG
rnacentral:rRNA from 1 species